GUUGUAUGGUUAAGUGACUAAGCGUACACGGUGGAUGCCUUGGCAGUUGGAGGCGAUGAAGGACGUAUUAACUUGCGAUAAGCCUAGUCAAGCUAGUAAAAAGCACUUGAGACUAGGAUUUCCGAAUGGGGAAACCCACCUGCUUGCAGGUAUCGUUAACUGAAUACAUAGGUUAACGAGGCGAACGCGGAGAACUGAAACAUCUAAGUACCCGUAGGAAAAGAAAUCAACCGAGAUUCCGAAAGUAGCGGCGAGCGAAAUCGGAACAGCCCUUAAGCUUAUUAUGUGUUAAUGGAAGGCUGCUGGAAAGCGCCACGAUACAGGGUGAUAGUCCCGUACAUGAAAAGACAUUUUAAGUGAAAUCGAGUAGGUCGGAGCACGUGAAACUUUGACUGAAUAUAGGUGGACCAUCAUCUAAGGCUAAAUACUCCCAACUGACCGAUAGUGAACCAGUACCGUGAGGGAAAGGCGAAAAGAACCCCUGUGAGGGGAGUGAAAUAGAACCUGAAACCGUGUACGUACAAGCAGUAGGAGCCCACUUGUUGGGUGACUGCGUACCUUUUGUAUAAUGGGUCAGCGACUUAUAUUUUGUAGCGAGGUUAACCGAAUAGGGUAGCCGUAGGGAAACCGAGUCUUAACUGGGCGAAUAGUUGCAAGGUAUAGACCCGAAACCCGGUGAUCUAGCCAUGGGCAGGUUGAAGGUUGAGUAACAUCAACUGGAGGACCGAACCCACUAACGUUGAAAAGUUAGGGGAUGACCUGUGGCUAGGAGUGAAAGGCUAAUCAAACCGGGAGAUAGCUGGUUCUCCCCGAAAUCUAUUUAGGUAGAGCCUCGGACGAAUACUUACGGGGGUAGAGCACUGUUAAGGCUAGGGGGUCAUCCCGACUUACCAACCCUUUGCAAACUCCGAAUACCGUAAAGUAAUAUCCGGGAGACACACGGCGGGUGCUAACGUCCGUCGUGAAGAGGGAAACAACCCAGACCGCCAGCUAAGGUCCCAAAGUCAUAGUUAAGUGGGAAACGAUGUGGAAAGGCCCAGACAGCCAGGAGGUUGGCUUAGAAGCAGCCAUCCUUUAAAGAAAGCGUAAUAGCUCACUGGUCGAGUCGGUCUGCGCGGAAGAUGUAACGGGGCUAAACUAUGCACCGAAGCUGCGGAUUCAGAAUUUAUUCUGAGUGGUAGGGGAGCGUUCUGUAAGCGGUUGAAGGUGUACCGGGAGGUAUGCUGGACGUAUCAGAAGUGCGAAUGCUGACAUGAGUAACGAUAAUGGGAGUGAAAAACUCCCACGCCGGAAGACCAAGGGUUCCUAUCCCAUGUUAAUCAGGGUAGGGUAAGUCGACCCCUAAGGCGAGGCCGAAAGGCGUAGUCGAUGGGAAACAGAUUAAUAUUUCUGUACUCGAUAUAAUUGCGAUGGGGGGACGGAGCAGGCUAAGCAAGCAU
rnacentral:rRNA from 1 species